GGCUCCCAGGGGAGGUGGUGGGCGGCCACGACGAGCUCCCAGGGGAGGUGGUGGGCGGCCACGACGAGCUCCCAGGGGAGGUGGUGGGCGGCCACGACGAGCUCCCAGGGGAGGUGGUGGGCGGCCACGACGAGCUCCCAGGGGAGGUGGUGGGCGGCCACGACGAGCUCCCUCCCUGGCAUAGAUGAAUCAAAAGGAUUUUGGCAGUAUUACUGAGGUUCAUCUUGGACAUGAUGCAGACCAAAUGCUACUCUACUAUGCCUCAUGAUGUUAAUGUGUAAUAGCUUUUAAAUUAUCUGAAAACCCUGCCUUAAUGUACAGUCAAUAAAAGGAUUUGUUCCUGCCUCUG